rnacentral:rRNA from 1 species
CAAUAACAAAAAUCUUUUGUAUUUCAAAUUUUCAGCAAUGGAUGUCUUGGCUCACACAA